rnacentral:tRNA from 1 species
GACGAGGUGGCCGAGAGGUUAAGGCGAAGGACUGCUAAUCCAUUGUGCUCUGCACGCGUGUGUCCGAAUCCCAUCCUCGUUG